rnacentral:lncRNA from 1 species
CAAAUGGUAACUCCUCAAUAGCCAAAUAUUUAUUAUUGAUCAUUUCAUCACUAUUAAAUUGCUGUAGAUGGUGUUUUGAAAACUUUAUUUUCCUUAUUUUCAUAUGAAAUACAGAAUAGUAAUCAGUUUGUGUACAUGUGCAUACAUAGACACCAUUUGCCGAGGCCAAAACAGUCUGUCACAGAUUUUUUAUGAAAAUUAAAAGGCACUCUGGUAGGGCACUUGACAAGUGGCCAAGUCAGAACCUUUAGGCCUGGGAUCAUCUGGAUUUGCUUUCAGUUCCCCCUUCUCAGUCAACAGCGAUGUCUUUGAAAGGUCUAAGUCUACUAUAGUUUUGCUUUGUUUCCGUCUCCAUCUACCCUUUAAAAAUUGGUUUUAUGGCGAAAGGCAGAAGGCAUACUGAGUGUGUCUGACAUGCACUAGGAAACCUGCUGCAUGUGACUUCGAUGACCUGUCAUCCUGUGUCCCUCACCAGCCCUGGUCUUCUAUGACAUGAUACAGUUAGGAGCCUUAAACCCUUGUUUGUGUGACUGCUGCCCUCUGCAUUCAUGCCUCUGCCACCUUCUAAUAAAGGUACUCUUAUCCCCUUGUGGGGUGGGAUUAAUUGGCAAUCUCAUUGCUUUUGAAAAAAUUAUUAAUAUUAGUAGUACAUUUUGCAGUCUUGCAAAAGUCUAGUCAAAACAGCAGCAUGGCUGGGCAUAGUGGCGUACGCCUUUAACUUCAGCACUUGGGAGGCAGAGGCAGGGAGAUCUCUGUGAGUUCAAGGCCAGCAUGGUCUACAGAGUGAGUCCCAGGACAGCCAGACCUACAUAGUGAGACCCUGUCUCAAAAACAAAUAAAAACAUCCAGCAGCAUGAAAAUGUUGUUACAUUAGCUCAUCAUUCGUUAAAAAGCCACAAGUUUUUGUUUGGCUUCUCUUUUAAGCCAAAUUAGUAAGACGUUUUCAUGAAGCAAAUAUAUCAUUUAUUUAUCUUAGAAAUCUGAAGGACAAUUACCUUAUCCAUGUCUUUUUUUUUCCUACAGUCUUAAAAUGCCAAACAGGAAUAGUUGUGGUAUGAAUCUGUUGCAAAUGCAUAUUCAGAAAUUGAUGUUCUAAUGAAUAAUUACCAUCUACUUAAUAUGAAACUGUAUCCCAUUUUAAUUCUGGUCUCAAUAAUAAUAGUAAGUGAUGAUUAAUUUCUUCAUCUUAAGGUGAGUAGUUUGCAUUACUGAGUUGUACCAGGUCUUGUCACUUUCCUUUUAUUGCACAGUUUAAAAUUUUCUGUAAACUCUGUGGCUCCUUUCCAAAUAAUAUGCCAUAAUGUUUUUCACAUUGAAAAUGAACCUUGUUGAAAAUGUUAGAUUUUUAAUUUUUUUUAACUGUUUCUGCAUUUCAGUAGUUGCACUGCUAACUUACGAUCUUCAUAAAGAGCAUGGAAGAAGCCAUUCUGAAUAUAUUUUUAGGAAGUAGGCACGUAGAAAUAACAAAAUAGAUAUCAAUGACACCUUUAAUUCAUCCCUGAAAAGCAACUGGAAAGGAAAAAACAAAUUCUACCAAAAUUAAAAAGUUGAAAAACAAGGGUAUCAGAAAGACCUGUUUUCUUAUACUGUUGAAGCAAUCAACUUUUAGAAAAGAAGGUUGAAUACAUUGAAAACCGUGUGAUGAGCUUGUCAGCAACUCCAAUUAAGGUAAAACCACAAAACUUUACAAAGAGCAUUAAAAAUGAACAUAACUGUGAUACUUUAGAAAUGUGACCAUUUCUCCACAACUUGUCUUAGACAAAAUUUUGUCAUUAAGUUUCUUAUAGAUGCCAAAAAGAAAACAAGUAGUUCUCACAACUUAUACAUUAUUCAUUCACAGUGGACUGUAGCAACUUCAAGCCAUUCUGUAUAUCAUUUGCUCUUCAAGGUCUGUGCCUUUUAUUUUGUGCUAUACAAAAUACUGGUUUUGUUGAUUAUAUAUUCACACAUAUUUCAAAUUUUCAUGAUGAAUGUAUGACAAAUGAUUAAAAUAAGCCAGGUGUAAAGACAUGGAUUGUAUAUGGAAAUGUAUAAAUAUUCGACAAAGAAGAGAAAAAGAAUCUUCCUGCCAACAGUUGGGCCCUGCUGGGAGGGCCUGGAAAUGAAGAUUUCUUUUUGAGCAAUGGAAUUUAGAGAUCCAUUACCUCAAGAAAUUUUAGUGGAUACGUGUCAUAUCCACUAAAGGACACAUAGCAUGUUUCUUCUGAAGAAGCACUAUCUCACUUGUGACUGAUAAGAGCAUCACAAGUAUCACAUUAUACAGAUUGUAGGGACAAGUCCCUGAGAAGACAAAUGGGUACUUUGUGGAGUCUACUUGCAGACUCUCAGUAAUAUCCCUAUAUCCUUUUGUUGUGGUUUUAAAAAAUGGUUGCUAUUUUGGGUUGAUUGUUUUAAAUCAGGAGAAUGACAUUCAUUAUGAUAUCAGAUCUCAUGAAAGAAUAUAAGACAUUAUCUGGAUGAAGCUGAUGGAAGUCAAAUGGUUCCCAUUGUCACUGUGUGUAGAGUGUAGCCUGCUGUUUACCACACAACGUGUGCAGAAUAUCACCGCAUCAUCAUCUAGCAAUGCCUAAU